CAAGAUGCUGCUGAUCCUGUUUUCAGUGGCCUUCCUGGCCCUGACCUCAGCCCAGAGCGUGAGUGAAGAUGUCCAGUCUGAAGAAUCUCCUGUCGUAGCAUCAGAUGGAGGAAAUGCUGAGAGCCCACAACAAGAACCCCAGGAAC